rnacentral:tRNA from 1 species
UGGGGAGUGGUCUAAUUAGGUAUGACGCCUCGUUUUGGCCGAGGACGAUGCGGGUUCAAGUCCUGCCUCCCCAA